UUUGUACUCCCUCCGUCCAAAAUUACUUACCAGAAAAAUGAAUGUAUCUAGACAUAUUUUAGUUCUACAUACAUAUAUAUAUUAUCUAUUUUCGUGAUAAGUAAUUUCGGAUGGAGGGGGUACUUC
rfam:Triticum aestivum genome assembly, contig: Triticum_aestivum_CS42_TGACv1_scaffold_424253_5BS